AUAAGAGGUCCCACCUGCCCUGUGACUUAAAGUUUAACGGCCGCGGUAUCCUAACCGUGCGAAGGUAGCGCAAUCAAUUGCCUUUUAAAUGAAGGCCUGUAUGAAUGGUAUAACGAGGGUUUGACUGUCUCUUUUUUCUAGUCAGUUAAACUGAUCUGCCCGUGCAGAAGCGGGCAUUACUAUACAAGACGAGAAGACCCUAUGGAGCUUUAGACGCUAGCCAACUAUCGACAGGCGACUGGCCACUAAACAGACCUUAAAUACCCGUUAGUUGUGGUGAGGCAGUCUUAGGUUGGGGCGACCACGGGAGAAAAUGAAGCUCCCAGGCAGACCGGGGGAUACCCUUGAGCCAAGAGUAGCUACUCUAAGCCACAAAAUUUUUGACUGAAAUGAUCCGGUUGACAAACCGAUUGACGAACCAAGUUACCCUAGGGAUAACAGCGCAAUCCCCUCCCAGAGUCCCUAUCGACGAGGGGGUUUACGACCUCGAUGUUGGAUCAGGACAUCCUAAUGGUGCAGCCGCUAUUAAGGGUUCGUUUGUUCAACGAUUAAAGUCCUACGUGAUCUGAGU
rnacentral:rRNA from 1 species